rnacentral:lncRNA from 1 species
AGAGCAGAAGCUUCAGCAUCAUCUUCUUAUGCUGGUGGCACAAAAUAUAGACAAGAGGACAAGGACAAUGCAUUCCUCAAUGAGCUAGAGUUUUUGUCGCGCCUCAAUCACAAAAACCUUGUUAAGCUAUUAGGGUAUUGUGAAGAUAACAAUGAACGUGUCUUGGUUUUCGAAUACAUGAACAAUGGCACCCUCCAUGACCAUCUCCACAGGCUCGAAAGCUCACCACUAAUGUCAUGGGUUGGUAGGAUCAAGGUGGCAUUGGACGCGGCACGUGGCAUUGAGUACCUGCACGAGUACGCAGUGCCAGCUGUCAUCCACCGUGACAUCAAGUCGUCCAACAUAUUACUCGAUGCCAUGUGGAAUGCCAAGGUGUCCGACUUUGGAUUGUCCUUAAUGGGGCCUCAGGAUGACGAAACACACCUUUCUAUGCGCGCUGCUGGCACGGUCGGUUACAUGGACCCUGAAUACUACAGACUGCAACAACUAACGACGAAAAGUGAUGUGUAUAGUUUCGGAGUAAUGUUGCUAGAGUUAUUGUCGGGUUACAAGGCGAUUCACAAGAAUGAGAAUAGGGUACCAAGAAAUGUGGUUGAUUUUGUUGUACCAUACAUAGUACAAGAUGAGAUUCAUAGGGUAUUGGAUCGUAGAGUUCCACCACCAACACCUUUUGAAAUUGAGUCUGUGGCAUAUGUAGGUUAUCUAGCAGCAGAUUGUACCACAUUAGAAGGUAGAGAUCGUCCAACUAUGGCUCAAGUUGUAAAUACACUAGAAAGAGCCUUGAACGCAUGUUUGGCUACUCCAAUUUUCUCUCGGUCUAACACCGGUGAUUCGUCCACAUAGGCAGCAAGCUUUGACACGUGUAUAUUGUAAUUACACAUUUUUCUUAACUCAAGUUGUAAAUACGCUAGAAAGAGCCUUAAAGGCAUGUUUGGCUACUCCAAUUUUCUCUCGGUCUAACACCGAUGAUUCGUCCACAUAAGCAGCAUGCUUUGACACGUGUAUAUUGUAGUUACACAUUUUUCUUAUUUUUCUAUAUAUAUUUAAAUUAUUUUUCCACACUAGCGGACCAUUUCUUUUCUAAAUUUAUCAUUAUUUACCCAGUCGUUUUUAAUUUGUGACACUUUUCGCUUAUCUGUGUAU